AGGCUUAACACAUGCAAGUCGAGCGCCCCGCAAGGGGAGCGGCAGACGGGUGAGUAACGCGUGGGAGUCUCCCCUUGACUACGGAAUAACGCAGGGAAACUUGUGCUAAUACCGUAUGUGUCCUUCGGGAGAAAGAUUUAUCGGUCAAGGAUGAGCCCGCGUUGGAUUAGCUAGUUGGUGGGGUAAAGGCCUACCAAGGCGACGAUCCAUAGCUGGUCUGAGAGGAUGAUCAGCCACAUUGGGACUGAGACACGGCCCAA
rnacentral:rRNA from 1 species